UACAGAGGGUGCAAGCGUUAAUCGGAAUUACUGGGCGUAAAGCGUGCGUAGACGGUUAUUUAAGUCAGGUGUGAAAGCCCCGGGCUCAACCUGGGAAUUGCAUUUGAAACUGAAUAGCUAGGGUGCGGAAGAGGGAAGCGGAAUUUCCGGUGUAGCGGUGAAAUGCGUAGAUAUCGGAAGGAACACCAGUGGCGAAAGCGGCUUCCUGGUCCAGCACCGACGUUCAGGCACGAAAGCGUGGGGAGCAAACAGG
rnacentral:rRNA from 1 species